AGAAAGAGGGCGUGGCUUCUGAGGAACGGGGAGACCCGGAGGAUGGUGUGACGAGCUCUACAGUCGGGUAUCGUGAGGUCCACAGACUUGACUGACGGCUGUCAGGCUUUAAAAGCCAGAGACACACCUGGCAGCCACAGAGGGAGGCUACCUACAGCUCAACUCAUAUCAACAAUACAGUCCAGUCGCAAGGAAAGUCUGUAACAAGUGAGAACCAUGAGGACACAACAACGAACUCAAGCCCAGCUCCACAAGAUGAUGGCGAGGAACACUCUGCUCCGUGUGGGCGCCACCAACGAUGUGGGCAGACGGUGUGGGGAGUACAAAUAUGAGAGCUCCCACGCCUACCACAGCGGCCGCACCAUGUACUUCGCGCCCACCACCAACAUGAAGAUGGCGGAGGACCGUUUGCUGACGCGCGCUGACGCCGCCGGGUGUUCCCGCAACGACCACACCGCCAGCAACGCCCAGAGUCAGCAGGGCUUUGUUUACGUCAUCCGCUAACCCCGGAGGUUAGGGGCAGCCCAGCUACCUGGGGUCUAUUUAUGUACAUGACAUCAUGACAGGACGCUUUGCCCUUCUGAUUUGACAUCAGCAAUAUAACUCAAGGAAUGAUAAUAAUAACAACAAUGAUAAUACAGUAACCGAACUGUGAUCGUAAAAUUUAACGUUUAUCGACUUUACAUACCAGAAAUUGUUAAGUGAGUAGAGAAAAAGAGAUUUUCUAUUUUUCUUAUUUCUUAUUGUCUUUUCCCAUUCUUCUUUGUCGUUUUUUUUAAAUAGAUACCCUCCUAAGUUCGAAGUUCAGACAACCAUGGAGACACGUGCAGUAGUAAGCUACUCACUGAUGUUUAUGAGAUGAUGUUUACACCUGACAUUAAGUCUACAGACGUUUGGUGUUGUCCAUUACAGACAUAGUUAAUAAGAACUAUUGUUACUAUGCUUUCUGUGAUUAUUUCAGUAUUAUUUCGUCAUCUUGUCCCUAAAGAUGUCGCAUAUUUCGGGUUAUUAGUUUUGUACUUUCAUCUUUAUAGUUAACUAGGACCAGACUGUAAGUGAAUACAUACAAAAUAUGACAGCCACAGUAUUGAAAAAAUUGUUCUUUCUAAAGUGAACCUGUUUAUGAAUGGCAUUACAUAAACUCACAUCCCAAAUGA